AUAUAUAUAUACCUGAAUAUUCUAUCUUAUGAAUAUUAAUCUUCAUGCACUAAAUGUCACAAGGUGAUCGGAACGAGAUGUCAGAGAAUAUAUUUUCGUCGAAUGGGUCAUUGUAGAGUGGGAUGUGUUUUUGUCAGUUACUCAGAUACUGGACAGAAGAGAUAUAGUGCUUAAAAGUACGCUGAACUUGUGAUUUUGUGAGAUAGGAUCGCUCUUUCAUCUGUAUCAG